AUGAGGAGAGGUCCAAUAGGUCCAUGGUGGGGAUGGAGCAACGAGGCCAGAGACCCAGGCGGUGGAUGCCUCGUGGGUAGAGGAGAGGUUGACAAUACGGACAAGGAGCAGCGGUGUCACAUGGAUCUGCAGGGAGGCAUCUUCGAGGGAUGGCUGGUGUCAAUAUUUUUGUUGAUAUGCCCUACAUAUCGAGUUCAUCGUCCAAGCACCUUCCGCGGAAAGAAAGAAAAAGAUGAGUGGAGAAAGGAGACAAGGGAGUUCCAUUUUGUGAAGACAAUGGCGACAUGGUUGACUCAAGGACUAGUGGAAGAAGGCAUAUCUCAUAUAAUUUCUUUAUCUAAGAUAAGGCUACACUCUCCUAUGUAA
rnacentral:rRNA from 1 species